UGGCUCAUUGGUAGAGUGCUUGCCUAGCAUGCAUGAAGUCCUGGGUUCAAUCCCCAG
rnacentral:tRNA from 1 species